GCGGAGGAAAAGAAACCAACAGGGAUUGCCCUAGUAACGGCGAGUGAAGCGGCAACAGCUCAAAUUUGAAAGCUGGCCUUCGGGUCCGCAUUGUAAUUUGUAGAGGAUGCUUUGGGGCAGCCGCCUGUCUAAGUUCCUUGGAACAGGACGUCAUAGAGGGUGAGAAUCCCGUAUGUGACAGGACAUGGCACCCUAUGUAAAGCUCCUUCGACGAGUCGAGUUGUUUGGGAAUGCAGCUCUAAAUGGGAGGUAAAUUUCUUCUAAAGCUAAAUACCGGCGAGAGACCGAUAGCGCACAAGUAGAGUGAUCGAAAGAUGAAAAGCACUUUGGAAAGAGAGUUAAAAAGCACGUGAAAUUGUUGAAAGGGAAGCGCUUGCAAUCAGACUUGUCCAAACUGUUCGGCCGGUCUUCUGACCGGUUUACUCAGUUUGGACAGGCCAGCAUCAGUUUCGGCGGCCGGAUAAAGGCCCCGGGAAUGUGGCCCUCGCUUCGGCGGGGGUGUUAUAGCCCGGGGUGUAAUACGGCCAGCCGGGACUGAGGUCCGCGCUUCGGCUAGGAUGCUGGCGUAAUGGUUGUAAGCGACCCGUCUUGAAACAC
rnacentral:rRNA from 1 species